rnacentral:rRNA from 1 species
GGGCGCAAGCCUGAUCCAGCCAUGCCGCGUGCAGGAAGAAGCAUCUAUGGUGUGUAAACUGCUUUUGUACGGGAAGAAACACUCCUUCGUGAAGGAGCUUGACGGUACCGUAAGAAUAAGGAUCGGCUAACUCCGUGCCAGCAGCCGCGGUAAU